rnacentral:lncRNA from 1 species
GAAAUAGGAACACACAGUCGUGUCCCAGCCCGUGCCCAUGCUCGUGUGAGUAUACUGACAUGGGUCACACGGCUAAGCCACACGCCCGUGUGCUAAGCUGUGUGAGCAUACUGACUUGCAACCCUUAAGAAGCUACAGAGGACAUAUGGUCGUGUCCCUUCCCAUGUGGACGAAAAUAGGCCAUUUUAUAAGCCACAUUUCUCACCCAAUUAGACACCAACCUACGCCCAAAAAUGCACACAUACACAAGCUAUAAUCAAGCAUCCAAAACAAGCAUAUACCAUAUACAACCAAUAUGCCCUUUGGCACAUCGAAUAACAAGUAUGAAAUAUAUGCAACCAUGUGAUCCAUGUAACCAAGUAAUCAACUAACUUAUAUAUACACAACAUGUAAAUGAUUUACCAAAACUUACCAUUUGAUAUGAAUUGUACCACAUAAUCAAUAGCAUCAAAUACAUAUAUGCUUUCCCUAGCAUAGCACCAAACCACACCAAGUUAUAAAACAUACAUCACAUACAUAUUCAACUAUUAUUUUAAUUUUCAUCUUUUAACUACAAAUCAAUCCACACAUCAACCUUAUAAGCAGAUUAUGCAUAUACCAAAAUACCAAAAACAAGUCAAAUAAAUGGCUAAUCUCAACAAAACACAUAUAGGCUAAUAUUAGUCAAAAUAACCUAUACAUGCCAUUAUAACCAAAAUUUAACCAACUAAAAGUACCAAAAGAUCCGAUGGAUAGUGUGAUAUAGCUCCGACAAGCUUCUAACCAGAGCGAGCUUCUGAAUUACUAUAAAACACGAAAAAUAAUACAGAGUAAGCAUUUAAGCUUAGUAAGUUCGUAUAACAUAAAAUUUAACUUACCAUUUAACCAUAAUUUAGAUAAGUAAAUAUAGCAUAUCCCAACUCAAUUUGACCAAAUGCCUAUGUACAGAUUCACCAACAUGUUAGCCAUGUAAAACACAUAUAAUAGCCAAUACACAUGGAUGAACUCAACAAUUACUCAAGUACCAUAUACAUGUAUCUAUAUCAAUAUAUCAUGUAACAUCAUUUCUAUGUAUUUCAUAUAAAUACUUGUAAUAGUUCGUAUUGAACUCAUAUAAUAUCGUAACAGAACUGUGUCCAUUGAACCAUUUAGAAUAUCGUUGGAUACUCAGGUAGCACACAUGAGGUGUACUGAACUAUAAUCCAUCAAUUCAUGUACAUGUAUGCUCAUACGAGCUCUGUAUCGGUAUACUCUUACGAGCUAUAAUCAGUAAGCUCUUGCGAGCUGAGUAAUGAUCAGCUCAUGCUAGCUAAAUAUCAGUAAGCUCAUACGAGCUAAGAAUCGAUAAGCUCUCACGAGCUAAAAUCGGUAACCCUAAUAACAUGUCAUUUGUAUCCUACGAAUUCUUAAGGUUCAAAAGGGGCUCAGUAGUCGUUGUACGUCGAUAGAUAUGCUAUCAGUAUUCAUACAUGGCAAUUUCACAAUUUACAUACAUAUAAUUCAAUUAAAACAUAUAAAUGCACAAUUUAAUUACACAAACUUACCUCGAUGAGUAUACGUAGAUACGGAGGCGAUUAAUCCGAGACUCUCUUUUCCCCGAUCUAACUCUGUACGAGGUCUAACUGGAUCUAUACAAAUAAAUUUAACCUAAUUAAAUUUAUUUCUCAUUGAAUUUAGUCCAACAUAUAAUUUUGGAAAAAUUAUCAUUUUUCUCCUAUACUUUUAAUUUUUUUGCAAUUUAAUCCCUAGGCUCAUAAAAUGAAAUUCAUACAAUUUUUCCCUUACCCAAGCUUAGCCGAUUUUUAUACAUACUAAUAGAAGCCCAUAUAUUUCACAAAUUCAUAAUUUUUACCAGGAAUUUAUCACAUUUUUCAAUUUAGCCCCUAAUUGAUAAUUUCAUAAAAAAUUCCUUUACAAAAGUUGUUUAUCUAACAACAACCAUCCAUUUUUUAUCAUCAAACUUCAAAACUCACAUAUAUUCAUCAAUGUUAAAACCUUAAUAGUUUAACAGUUUCAUAAAUUAGUCCCCGGGCUAGCUAGAUUAAGCUACAACGAUCCUAAAAACGUAUAAAUCAUUAAAAACAUGAUAAAAAUCAUACCUAAUUGGGCAAUAUAAGCUUGGUCGAAUGUUGUUCAAAAAAAAUGGCUUCCUUUAUUCUUCAAAAUCGGUUGAAUAAAGAAGAAAAGAUGAUACUUGGCUUUUAUUUUACUUAAUUUUAACUUUAAAUACUUUAUUACCUAUUUAACCUUUUUAAACAUUAAAAAUUACACUUAUACCAAGCCAUGUACAUACACUAUCACUAUUAUUGGGAUAAUUACCCUAUAAGGACCUUCACUUUAAAGUUCUACAGCUAUUUAAUACCUCUAGUUAUUGGAAUUUAACUUUUGCACUUUACACGAUUUAGUCCUUUUUAUUAAAUUGAACGUGUAAACGGUAAAAUUUCUUAAUGAAGUUUUUAUACGGUAAUUCUAUCAUGUUGUAGACCAUAAAAUAAUAGUAAAAUAAAUUUUUGACUUCAGAUUUGUCGUCUCAAAAUCACUAUUCUGAUUUCACUAAAAAUAACUGUUACAGAUUUAUCAAAUCUAUCAGCACCAAAUUGCAUCAAAUGCCUUAUAUACUUAGUACUAGUGUAACUAAGUAGCAAAAACAUCAACCAAAAAGUAACAAAAUAGCAGCAUAUUCUUUAGUUGCAACUUACAUGGCUCGAACUGCUAUGGUCUGUAUAAAAGCCAUCUUUUAACAAUUUUGCAUAUUGUGUUUCAGUUGGGAGUUCGAAGGUGUACUAUGAGUUGGGAUUAAACAUGUUUUAAGCUAAAAAUCAUGGUUAAGAAAGCAUUUGUUAAAGGUACGUGGGUGAAGAUUAAAUUCUAAUGGGAAAUUGAUUCAUUGAUGUCAUGGUGGAUCCCGCCCUUGACCAUAAUUGUUGGGAUAAUUUCUUUUCUAGAAAACUAUGUAAGUUAAUUGUUGAAUGAGUUGAAGAUUUUAGCCUUUUAGAUUAUGGUUGUGAAUUCAAAAUCGGAUGUUCUUUUUCAUAGCAUGAUUCCAAUCUUUUUCGGUCCAAAAACUUAUCUCAGCUAUAAUCAAAUAUUACAGCAAUGAAGAAAUAGAACUAACUGAAAUCCAUUUAAAAGUUAAAAAUCCUUCCUAACCUAUUCAAUCAGAUUUCAAUGACAAUAGAGGGAAUUAUGUCUCACGAACCCACCAAAAACUCAUCUAAACCUUGUUUUCAACGACAAAAUUCAAAAUCCAAUGAGUUUUUUUUUUCUUUUUAAGUCCAGACUUCGAUUCCUUUCUUAUCCCAUUCAAAACUUAUGUAUUAUUUUUCUUAAAAUAACAUAUACUUUGCAUAAAAUAAUUAAUGUUAGAUGAACCUCCAUGAUAAAAAAAAUAAAGCAUGAAAUUCAAAAACUAAAAGAAUUUUAGUGGAUUAUGAUGUACUUUUGUCAUUUUUAUUUUAAAUAAGUUGCAAAGGUUAAGAUUUGAACCAAUACUAUUUGCAUCUAUAAAUUAUUUUUAUAUAUUUCAAUAUCAUUACACUAAAAUAAACUUACAUAUUUUAAAUAAGAUAUAUAAUUACAAAUAGUGUUGAGAUUUGAACCUAUGCUCUCAAUAUUUAUAAAAUAUUUUCUUUACCACUUUAACCCAAACUUUAUUUUGACUUUUUUUUUAUACAUUUCAAUGUUAUUAUACAAAUUGUUUCACCCAAUUUGUUUGUAUAUUUAUAUUAUCAUUUAAGUGUGUAAUUGAAUAAAUGUAUUGGGAACAGAGAGCCAGAGCUAAUUGAUUGCGCCAAAGGGAUAAAAAUAUGGUUUUCUUUCAUAGCCAAGCAUCUCAAAGACAUAGAAGGAAUAAAAUUCAGGGGAUAGAAAAUAUUGACGGUAUUCUUAAAAUAGAAGAUGAAGACAUGAAAAACAUUAUAAGAGAUUAUUUUAUGGGAAUUUUCUCAUCAAAUGGUGUCGACGACACGAACCAUCUUCUUUCAGGUGUUAAGAGAUGCAUUAAUGAAAACAUGAAUCAGAUACUAACAACAACAUAUAAAGAGGAUGAAAUUGUUGCAGCGCUCAAUAGUAUAGGCCGACCAAAGCUUCAGGCCCGAUGGGUUCCCAGCCAUGUUUUUCUAGAAAUUUUGGCACAUUGUAGGUAGGGAGGUAAGUAAUUUUUGUUCGGAGGUCCUUAAUGAGGGCAAAUCUUUAAAACCUUUGAAUCACACGAAUAUUAUUUUAAUUCCGAAGAAUGCUCAUCUAAAAAAUCCUACGAUUUUUAGACCAAUUAGUCUUUGCACAGUGUUCUAUAAAAUCAUUUCAAAAGGUACUUGAUCUCUGUAUUGAUUCAGCUCAAAGUGCUUUUAUCCUGGGAAGAUUAAUUACUGGUAACGUGUUUCUUGCCUAUGAAAUUCUUCCUACCUUGCAAAAUAAAAGGGUGGGAAAAAAGGUCUUAUGGCACUCAAGAUCUACAUGAGCAAGGCGUAUGACCGGGUGAAAUGGGAUUUCUUGAAACAAAUGAUGACCAAAAUGGGUUUCACUAAUUCACGGAAUGAUCUCUUCAUGUAUUGUAUUAGUACUGUUUCGUAUUCAGUUGUUUUAAACGGUGUAGCAGGGAAGGAUUUUACUUUAGAGAGGACCUUGCGUCAAGGUGAUCCUUUAAGCCCUUACUUGUUUCUCAUUUGCAAUGAGGGGCUUUCAACUCUGUUGAGGCUUGCAAGCGAGGAAGGGAAUUUGAGAGGGGUUAAGGUGAGCAGAAGAGGGCCUCAGAUUUCCCACCUUUUUGUUGAUGAAUGUAUUUUGUUUGGGGAAGCGACUGAUAAAGGUAUCAUGACUUUCGAAAAUGUUCUAAAAGAGGAUGAAGUUUUUUCAGGCCAAUGUGUUAAUUAUGGAAAGUCGACAGUGUUUUUCAGUUCAAAUGUCAUAGACACGGUCCGAGUUACCAUUUCUGAUAGGUUGGGGGUCAAAAGGUCUAACAAUUCCGAGAAAUAUUUGGGUCUGCCAAAUAUGGUGGGUAGAAAGAGAUGUUUGCCAUUCCAACACUUAAAAGAUCAUAUAAAAAUGAAGAGUGACAGUUGGAAUACCCGUUUAUUAUCGUAAUGAAGAAAAUAGGUUUUCAUAAAAGUCGUGUUACAGGCAAUUCUGACUUAUACAAUGGCUUGCUUUUUAUUACCGAAAUCAAUAUGCGAAGAGAUGAAGCAAAUAAUGGCAAAUUUCUAGUGGCAAAAGGGUCAUGAAAGACGUGGUAUUCACUAGUGUGAAUGGAGAAGAUUAUGUGAGUUAAAUGAGUGUGGUGGUCUCGGUUAUCGCUAUUUAGCUAAAUUUAAUUUGGCCUUUCUUGCAAAGCAAGGUUGAAGAUUAAUUUACAAUCCUGAGUCUUUCCUAGCCCGAACUUUGAAAGCUAAAUACCAUCCAAAUUCUAAUUUCUUAAACUUAGAGUUAGGAAAUUUACCUUCAUAUACUUGGAAAGGUCUCCUGCUGUCUGGACUCUGUUGGAGGAUGGGAACUGGUCGUAACAUUAAAAUCGAGGAAGAUGUUUAGGUCUCGAAUGCUGAAGGUUUGUUGAUUAAACAAUUGAUUAGUAGGUAGAAUAUUAUGAGGGUUGCGGAUCUUAUUGACAGUGAUACUAGAUCAUGGAGAACUGAGUUGAUUUUUAAUACCUUUUCUGAAGGCGAUGCUCAAAAAGUUCUACAAAUUCCACUGGCUAACCUUCAUCAUGAUGAUUUUCUGGUUUGAAAGGGCGAAUCAACGGGUGAGUUCACUGUAUGUAGCAGUUAUAAGUUGCUUUUAGAAGGUAAUCUUCACAAAAUAAAUAAUUACAACCCGAAUGAAAACACAAAAUGUUACAAAAAGCUUUCAAACAUUGAUCUCCCUUCUAAAAUAAUUGUUACAACUUGGAAAACUACUCCCAACUAUCUUCCUACGCUAGUGAAUCUAAGGAUAAAAAGAUUAACUAAUGAAGUUGUUUGUCCAAGAUGCAUGCAAGGGUUGGAAAAUAGGGAACACAUUUUUCGCGAUUGUUCUGUUACAAAGGGGACAUGGGAAAAAUUAGACUAUGCCUGGUCUCGUGAUUUAUCUCGAAUGGAGUUUAUGGAUUGGUUUACCUGGGUCUUGCUAAUUAGUAGGGAAGAUGUAUGUUGAAUUUUUGUUUGUGCCAUUUGGAUUAUUUGGACUACUAGAAAUCAAUAGAUUCAUGAGGGGCGAAAGAAAUCUGGAGCAGAGACAGCGAAGUUCAUUAUACAGUACAUACAAGACUUAAAAGAUAUUGAUAGAAAGAAUCUUGCCUUGAGACCAAUAUCUGAUAGAUAGAGACCUCCGAAGAAAGGUUUCUUUAAAAUAAAUUUCGAUGCUGCUUUUGAUAACAAGAAAAAUAGAUCAUGUUCGGGAAUCAUUGUCAAGAAUUCUAAGGAGAUAUUUUGGCCUAAAACAAAUGGUCCACAACAACAUACCUUCAGGUUUUGCAGCUGAGGCCAUCGCAUGUCUACAAACAGUUACUGUGGGUAAAGAUCUAGGGAUGAAGUAUGUUGAGAUUGAGGGCGAUUCCUUGACGGUAAUCAAGAAAGUUCAGAAUACGAAUAGGGACAAAUCGACAGUAGAACCAUAUAUUCAUGAUAUUAAAAAUCUGUAUUAGGCUUUUUAUGACUGCAAGUUCUAACAUGCAAGACGAGUAGCAAAUGAAUCUGCACACUGUUUAGCAUCUGAAGGUUUAAAAGUGGGUAGAAAUGAGUACCUUGUUUAUGAAACUGCUGGUUAAGAUAUCACUGAACGGGAAGUAGAUCCGGGAUGGAGAUGAAGUCUACACCGAAACAACGUUCUCAAAUGGUUAUGUGGAUUACGAGAAGAUAUUGAAUCGAUUUAUUUCUACUUGUUUGUCUUCUCCAAGAGCUGUUUAUUGGGGCGCAGAUAUUUUCUUAAAGAAGUCUCUAGAAGAUGACAAUUCAUAAGGCUGGGUUGCUGUUUCUGUUUUGUUUUGGCGAUUUGACUAUUGUUUCUUUUACUUUUUUUUUAUAGGUUUUUAGUCUUAACUUUUUGAGGUUGGGCUUUGAUUAG